rnacentral:rRNA from 1 species
GACGAACGCUGGCGGCGUGCUUAACACAUGCAAGUCGAACGGAAAGGCCCUGCUUGCAGGGUACUCGAGUGGCGAACGGGUGAGUAACACGUGGGUGAUCUGCCCUGCACUUCGGGAUAAGCCUGGGAAACUGGGUCUAAUACCGGAUAGGAGCCAUUUUUAGUGUGAUGGUUGGAAAGUUUUUUCGGUGUAGGAUGAGCUCGCGGCCUAUCAGCUUGUUGGUGGGGUAAUGGCCUACCAAGGCGGCGACGGGUAGCCGGCCUGAGAGGGUGGACGGCCACAUUGGGACUGAGAUACGGCCUAGACUCCUACGGGAGGCAGCAGUGGGGAAUAUUGCACAAUGGGCGCAAGCCUGAUGCAGCGACGCCGCGUGGGGGAUGACGGCCUUCGGGUUGUAAACUCCUUUCGCUAGGGACGAAGCUUUUUGUGACGGUACCUAGAGAAGAAGCACCGGCUAACUACGUG